rnacentral:rRNA from 1 species
UACAGAGGUCCCAAGCGUUGUUCGGAUUCACUGGGCGUAAAGCGUGCGCAGGCGGUUAUGGAAGACAGGUGUGAAAUCCCAGGGCUUAACCUUGGAACUGCAUUUGUGGCUGCAUAGCUAGAGUACGGUAGAGGGGGAUGGAAUUCCGCGUGUAGCAGUGAAAUGCGUAGAUAUCAAGUGGAACACCAGUGGCGAAGGCGAGUCCCUGGACAACUCCUGACACUGAGGCACGAAAGCUAGGGGAGCAAACAGG